rnacentral:rRNA from 1 species
UACGGGGGGGGCAAGCGUUGUUCGGAAUUACUGGGCGUAAAGAGCUCGUAGGUGGUUUGUCGCGUUGUUCGUGAAAACUCACAGCUCAACUGUGGGCGUGCGGGCGAUACGGGCAGACUAGAGUACUGCAGGGGAGACUGGAAUUCCUGGUGUAGCGGUGGAAUGCGCAGAUAUCAGGAGGAACACCGGUGGCGAAGGCGGGUCUCUGGGCAACAACUGACGCUGAGGAGCGAAAGCGUGGGGAGCGAACAGG